rnacentral:rRNA from 1 species
AGUGAACGCUGGCGGUAGGCCUAACACAUGCAAGUCGAACGGCAGCACAGUAAGAGCUUGCUCUUACGGGUGGCGAGUGGCGGACGGGUGAGGAAUACAUCGGGAUCUACUUUUUCGUGGGGGAUAACGUAGGGAAACUUACGCUAAUACCGCAUACGACCUACGGGUGAAAGCAGGGGAUCUUCGGACCUUGCGCGAUUGAAUGAGCCGAUGUCGGAUUAGCUAGUUGGCGGGGUAAAGGCCCACCAAGGCGACGAUCCGUAGCUGGUCUGAGAGGAUGAUCAGCCACACUGGAACUGAGACACGGUCCAGACUCCUACGGGAGGCAGCAGUGGGGAAUAUUGGACAAUGGGCGAAAGCCUGAUCCAGCCAUACCGCGUGGGUGAAGAAGGCCUUCGGGUUGUAAAGCCCUUUUGUUGGGAAAGAAAAGCAGCAGGUUAAUACCCCGCUGUUCUGACGGUACCCAAAGAAUAAGCACCGGCUAACUUCGUG